UGGAAGCUUCUUCCAGAGGCUUAAAUUAGUUCAAAAUUUGGACCUAGGAAAUUCUCUCGCCGGAGGUUGAAGGCGGCAUCUCAAGAUUAAUAAUAAAUAAAAAUUGUUGUCUGCUGAAUUCUUCUAUUCGCACAUUGUUGAGAACUUCAAAAAACUGAAAACAAUGAAAUUGGGCAACAGCAAUGGUCUACUUUCAAGUGAGAUCCAUCCCAUCCCACUGGCUGUGUUGACAAACAAUUUUGUUAAAGCUGCAUUUUGGACAUCAGACCCACUUUACAAACCCAUAAGCUGGGUUUGCUUAUAAUGCCAAGUCUGAGAAAUACAUAUAUAAAGCAAAGACCUCAACUUCACUGAAUGAGAAAGCAAACACAACUGACUGACUUACAAAGUCAUUUUUGAGACUUUGGCUUGGAUCCAGUGGGUUAUUCCUGUGGGCAAAAGGGUCUUUUCCUAAAGAGCAUAACUUGAGCUGCACUCACUGGGAGGCAAAGUCUGUGGGCAAAAAUCACUGAAUCCCAGCCAAUGAUUCGUGCCAUUCCUCUUAGUUCCUUAAUUACCAUCUGUUUCAUUUUAUGAGCUAUUGCUUU